UACGAAGGGGGCUAGCGUUGUUCGGAAUUACUGGGCGUAAAGCGCGCGCAGGCGGUCCUUUAAGUCAGGGGUGAAAGCCCAGAGCUCAACUCUGGAACUGCCUUUGAAACUAGAGGACUUGGGUACGGGAGAGGUGAGUGGAAUUCCGAGUGUAGAGGUGAAAUUCGUAGAUAUUCGGAAGAACACCAGUGGCGAAGGCGGCUCACUGGCCCGUUACCGACGCUCAGGCGCGACAGCGUGGGGAGCAAACAGGAUUAGAAACCCUU
rnacentral:rRNA from 1 species